rnacentral:rRNA from 1 species
GUGGGGAAUAUUGGACAAUGGGCGCAAGCCUGAUCCAGCCAUGCCGCGUGAGUGAUGAAGGCCCUAGGGUUGUAAAGCUCUUUCACCGGAGAAGAUAAUGACGGUAUCCGGAGAAGAAGCCCCGGCUAACUUCGUGCCAGCAGCCGCGGUAAUACGAAGGGGGCUAGCGUUGUUCGGAAUUACUGGGCGUAAAGAGCACGUAGGCGGACAUUUAAGUCAGGGGUGAAAUCCCGUGGCUGAACCCCGGAACUGCAUUUGAUACUGUGUGUCUGGAGUAUGGAAGAGGUAAGUGGAAUUCCGAGUGUAGAGGUGAAAUUCGUAGAUAUUCGGAGGAACACCAGUGGCGAAGGCGGCUUACUGGUCCAUUACUGACGCUGAGGUGCGAAAGCGUGGGGAGCAAACAGGAUUAGAAACCCGGGUAGUCC